rnacentral:rRNA from 1 species
AUUGAACGCUGGCGGCAGGCCUAACACAUGCAAGUCGAGCGGAUGAAGGGAGCUUGCUCCUGGCUUCAGCGGCGGACGGGUGAGUAAUUCCUAGGAAUCUGCCUGGUAGUGGGGGAUAACGUCCGGACACGGGCGCUAAUACCGCAUACGUCCUGAGGGAGAAAGUGGGGGAUCUUCGGACAUCACGCUAUCAGAUGAGCCUAGGUCGGAUUAGCUAGUUGGUGGGGUAAAGGCCUACCAAGGCGACGAUCCGUAACUGGUCUGAGAGGAUGACCAGUCACACUGGAACUGAGACACGGUCCAGACUCCUACGGGAGGCAGCAGUGGGGAAUAUUGGACAAUGGGCGAAAGCCUGAUCCAGCCAUGCCGCGUGUGUGAAGAAGGUCUUCGGAUUGUAAAGCACUUUAAGUUGGGAGGAAGGGCAGUAAGUUAAUACCUUGCUGUUUUGACGUUACCAACAGAAUAAGCACCGGCUAACUUCGUG